rnacentral:lncRNA from 1 species
UACCUUCGUGCCCUAGAGCAAGAUUAUAACUUCCAAAGAGGACUUUAACUUCCCAAGAGUGUAUCAAAUUAGGUACAACUGACAAUGAUAAAAUCUUAUAAGUCCAACUGCUACUAAAAAUCGUUGACCGCUAAUUGAUUUCUUUUCCUUUCAGUUUUAUUAAAGAAUAAAGCUCUUAAGAUAAAAAGCGUUUAAAACUUUAGUAAUUAUCCAUCAUGCAUUGCGCAAUUCUUUGAUAGUUUUUCUCAAUGUGAUUUUAUCAGACAAAUCUUUGAUAACGAUCUACCUGUCG